CUUCUACUCCCUCCGUCCGGAAAUACUUGUCAUAGGAAUGGAUGUAUCUAGAUGUUUUUUAGUUCGAGAUACAUACAUUUUUAUAGAUUUAUGCGACAAGAAAUUCCGGACGGAGGGAGUAUUUA
rfam:Hordeum vulgare subsp. vulgare, WGS project CAJW01000000 data, contig: morex_contig_1559392